CACCCCUCAAGAUUGCACCCGGAGAGUUUCCAGUACUCUACCAAUCUUGGCUAUGGGAGGGAGAGUCAAGCAGAGGCAUAUCCAUUCCAUUCCUAGCUUGGGCAGUGGUUAGCGAGUGGAAAGCAAUCUGCUACAAGU
rnacentral:snoRNA from 1 species